UUCCUACAUUACUUGCGACAGUUCUGCAUUUUUUGUUGAAAUAACUUAAAGGAUAAACAUUAUUAAAUCGAAUCAUUUCCACAACUUGAGGUAACUUAUGAUAAAAUGACAUCACAAAACGAACAGAACCAGAAUCAACCAACAUAUAAAAAACCGAAUAAAACUUGCAAAAAUUAAUCGAAGUCAAAAACCCUCUUCGACGCCGCAUUUUAAGUGUAAUGUGGUGUUGUAGGAACAUCGUGCCCAACGUUUGAAAGUAGAAAUAGAGCAAUCAAUACUUCAAUUCACCC
rnacentral:lncRNA from 1 species